rnacentral:rRNA from 1 species
GAUGAACGCUGGCGGCGUGCCUAAUACAUGCAAGUCGAGCGAACGGACGAGAAGCUUGCUUCUCUGAUGUUAGCGGCGGACGGGUGAGUAACACGUGGAUAACCUACCUAUAAGACUGGGAUAACUUCGGGAAACCGGAGCUAAUACCGGAUAAUAUUUUGAACCGCAUGGUUCAAAAGUGAAAGACGGUCUUGCUGUCACUUAUAGAUGGAUCCGCGCUGCAUUAGCUAGUUGGUAAGGUAACGGCUUACCAAGGCAACGAUGCAUAGCCGACCUGAGAGGGUGAUCGGCCACACUGGAACUGAGACACGGUCCAGACUCCUACGGGAGGCAGCAGUAGGGAAUCUUCCGCAAUGGGCGAAAGCCUGACGGAGCAACGCCGCGUGAGUGAUGAAGGUCUUCGGAUCGUAAAACUCUGUUAUUAGGGAAGAACAUAUGUGUAAGUAACUGUGCACAUCUUGACGGUACCUAAUCAGAAAGCCACGGCUAACUACGUGCCAGCAGCCGCGGUAAUACGUAGGUGGCAAGCGUUAUCCGGAAUUAUUGGGCGUAAAGCGCGCGUAGGCGGUUUUUUAAGUCUGAUGUGAAAGCCCACGGCUCAACCGUGGAGGGUCAUUGGAAACUGGAAAACUUGAGUGCAGAAGAGGAAAGUGGAAUUCCAUGUGUAGCGGUGAAAUGCGCAGAGAUAUGGAGGAACACCAGUGGCGAAGGCGACUUUCUGGUCUGUAACUGACGCUGAUGUGCGAAAGCGUGGGGAUCAAACAGGAUUAGAUACCCUGGUAGUCCACGCCGUAAACGAUGAGUGCUAAGUGUUAGGGGGUUUCCGCCUCUUAGUGCUGCAGCUAACGCAUUAAGCACUCCGCCUGGGGAGUACGACCGCAAGGUUGAAACUCAAAGGAAUUGACGGGGACCCGCACAAGCGGUGGAGCAUGUGGUUUAAUUCGAAGCAACGCGAAGAACCUUACCAAAUCUUGACAUCCCUUGACAACUCUAGAGAUAGAGCCUUCCCCUUCGGGGGACAAAGUGACAGGUGGUGCAUGGUUGUCGUCAGCUCGUGUCGUGAGAUGUUGGGUUAAGUCCCGCAACGAGCGCAACCCUUAAGCUUAGUUGCCAUCAUUAAGUUGGGCACUCUAAGUUGACUGCCGGUGACAAACCGGAGGAAGGUGGGGAUGACGUCAAAUCAUCAUGCCCCUUAUGAUUUGGGCUACACACGUGCUACAAUGGACAAUACAAAGGGCAGCGAAACCGCGAGGUCAAGCAAAUCCCAUAAAGUUGUUCUCAGUUCGGAUUGUAGUCUGCAACUCGACUACAUGAAGCUGGAAUCGCUAGUAAUCGUAGAUCAGCAUGCUACGGUGAAUACGUUCCCGGGUCU